AGAAUGAUCGCAUACAGACAAACACAAAAUUUGUUUGUACCGUUUGUCAAUUUUUUCAAGUGUGUGAAGUGUUAAAGCCAGGCGUAGGAAAAUAAUUUGUUACUUAGUGUCACCAUUGGCAUUGUGACAGAACAAAAAAAAAAUUGCCAUUAAUAUUCCGGCAUAUGGCCAACUAUACGGAACAAAGCGUAAAUCCCACGAGCUGUCGAUUCAGUCUAAAUGGCCUAAUAUACAAAUUUGGCUAACCGUUUGUUUAUACCCAAUUCACCCUUCCGGAAAGAACGCAGCCUUGGCUAUAGAGCCUCGUUUCUGUGAUAUGAUACAUUUGGUUCAGAGUCCUUUAUUUUGUUCAGAUGGACACAUUUAUGCAACCAUACAGUUAUAUCAGACAGUAAAUAUGAAAGCUUAGUUAUUGUGUCUACAUUGGCAUCACCUUAGGUUGGAGCUUGACAACUGGACUCUGUAGCUUA